rnacentral:rRNA from 1 species
GACGAACGCUGGCGGCGUGCCUAAUGCAUGCAAGUCGAGCGGGCUACGAUCUUCGGAUUGUAGCUUAGCGGCGAACGGGUGAGUAACACGUAGGUGAUCUACCCUUCAGAGGAGGACAACCUCAGGAAACUGAGGCUAAACCUUCAUACGUUCACUGGUAGGGAUACUGGUGAAGAAAGAGUUACCUUAGUGGUAGCUGCUGAAGGAUGAGCCUGCGGCCCAUCAGGUAGUUGGUGAGGUAACGGCUCACCAAGCCGAAGACGGGUAACCGGUCUGAGAGGAUGUCCGGUCACACUGGGACUGAGACACGGCCCAGACUCCUACGGGAGGCAGCAGCAGGGAAUCUUGGGCAAUGGGCGAAAGCCUGACCCAGCGACGCCGCGUGGAGGAAGAAGUCCUUCGGGGCGUAAACUCCUGGACUGGGGGACGAGGAAGGACGGUACCCCAGUAGAAAGGGACGGCUAACUACGUG